CCCGUCCAUGGUUCCCUCUCAUUCUCUCCCUCUGUCAUUUGACCAGCAGUGCUUCCUUGCCACUGAGGACCUGUGACUCAACAGCCGGAAUACAGCAAUGUUCUUUUGCUCACCCUCUUGAAUAUUCAUAGCAAUAAGAGGACUGAAGCUCAGACUCAUCCAUCUUGUAUCCAUCCGCAAUUACAUUGAGAGUGCCGUGUUACAAGAGAAUUCCUGAGGCGGGCCAAUGGCCCGAUAAAUCUGCUGGAGCCUCUCUCUCUCUCUCAAUUUGUCUCCAUGGAAUGUCAGCUGGCAAGUGCCCAGACACUGAGCCCUCUCCUCAACAACCUCUCCUCACAAAGCGCCAAUCUAGCAGACGAGAUCCCACGUUGGAGCUACAGUACGAGGACUGGCGUGGACAAAUUGCCACGAGCCUUAUCUCCGUCGCUUCGUGUCGGACCGUCUGAGGUCCUGCUCUCGGAAGGCCACUUUUCUCGCAGGGCCCGACAGUUAACCUAAUCGGCCGAGGCGGGUGACGAUGACAAAACGCAGGUGUCACCCAACAGGAACCCGUGAUAUGGCACAGAUGCCGUGUCAACUCGUCUCACUCCAUAUGACCCGCAGUGUGAACAGAAAUUGCUCUGUUUGGUGUCUUUCAUCACUGUGUGGCGCAGUCUCCCACAUAGCUCGGUCCAGGUGGCGGAAUGGCAGAGUGGGAGAACAGACCAUGUUUGUGUGAAGACGCAACAACUCUCUCGCUCUCUUUUCGCCUUUUUUUUUCUCUUUUCAUUCCCUCCCUCCUUCUUGUCUCCGUCUUCUUGUUCAAACACACAACUCUAGCACUCUUUGUACUCUAUUUAAAGGUUGUGGGUUAGCAAACAACACCAUGACUCCCCACCUGUAUCCCUGAACACAUCAUGAGUCAUGGAUGUACAUCUGUAUUUGUUCAUGUGCAAGAAAAAAAAGACUUCUUUCUUUUCACUUAAGACAGAAAUGCUGUAAUUUCUUAGAUGAUAAGUUCUAAUAAACAGAGUUGUAAAGUAACAAAGUACAAAUACUUUGUUACUGUACUUAAUUAAAAACUUUGGUUAUUUGUA